UUAGGCCAUCCAUUGCCAUUUUAAAACCUUGACCUUCUUCACCUACUAAAUUCUCCACUGGUACUUUACAAUCUUCCAUGAUGACCGCUCGUGCAUGAAAUUCCUUUUGGACCAGAAGGACCUGUGCGACACAUGACUACAUAUACAUCACUAUCACCACCACCACUUAUGAAUGCUUUACUGCCGUUUACUAUAGAAAAAAUCAAUAUUUUAUUCAUCAAAUAAACGAUAAUGGUAACAAUGUUCAA